GAGUACAUCGAUCGAUGUGUAGUACGGAUAGGUACUUCAUUUUUACUCUAACAUUCUCAAAACAUCUGACUUGAUUUUACCAACCCUUGAACACUUUGCACCGAGUCGGUGCAAUUUAGGUCUGGGGGAGGCAGUUACUAACACCAUUUUCUCGAGUUUUUGUCAAAAAAUCUUUUAAAAAGAUAAAAAAAUAAAAUAUAUUAUUUUAUUGAGUCAAGAAGGGGAUUAUGAACUAAUGAUUUCUACUUGAAUGUCUAACCACUUUCUAGCACCAUUCUAGAUUUACUGACUGCAGAUAAUACUAUAGAUGCUAAAGUGGAUCGACCAGUCAACUAUGCACACUUGCUAACUUGUUAGAAAGAACCGAAGCUAACCUCCAACACUAACCUGACUUCACUGCUUGUUUUGGGGCUUGGUAUACAUGGGAUCGGAUUUUUCAGACAAGUCUGGAAGGUAACGCCUGGUUUAGAUUAUUUAUCACAUUUUCUCUCUCUAGAUUUCGACCCUAGAUUAGUAAAAAAAAAAAAAGAGGAUCUAUUGUUUAAUUAGGAUGAGUAUGAAC
rnacentral:lncRNA from 1 species